rnacentral:rRNA from 1 species
GAUGAACGCUGGCGGCGUGCCUAAUACAUGCAAGUCGAGCGAACAGACGAGGAGCUUGCUCCUCUGACGUUAGCGGCGGACGGGUGAGUAACACGUGGAUAACCUACCUAUAAGACUGGGAUAACUUCGGGAAACCGGAGCUAAUCCCGGAUAAUAUACUGAACCGCAUGGUUCAAUAGUGAAAGUCGGUUGUGCUGUCACUUAUAGAUGGUUCCGCGCCGCAUUAGCUAGUUGGUAAGGUAAUGGCUUACCAAGGCAACUAUGCGUAGCCGACCUAUGAGAGGGGUCGGCCACACGGGAGGGGAGCCGCGGACCAGACGCCUGCGAGACGCAGCAGUAGGGAAUCUGCCGCAGUGGGCGAAAGCAUGACGGAGCAACGCCGCGUGAGUGAUGAAGGUCUUCGGAUCGUAAAACUCGGUUAUUAGGGAAGAACAAAUGUGUAAGUUACUAUGCACGUCUUGACGGUAAUUAGUCAGAAAGCCACGGCUAACUACGUG